GGGUCAGUAGGUUGGUCAUGCCACUGGUAUGUACUGGUCUCACUGAUUCCUCCUUCCUGAUGAACUGUAAUGCCAUUAAUUUGGUGUUUUGGGGAAUUUGGACUGUUACUUUGAAAAAAUUAGAGUGUUUAAAGCAAGCUAACGCUUGAAUACAUUAGCAUGGAAUAAUGAAAUAGGACGUUCGAUCCUAUUUUGUUGGUUUUUAGGAUCAACGUA
rnacentral:rRNA from 1 species